AAUGCUAUUGCAACUUUUGCAAGACCUUGCCUUUAGUAGCAUUUUUUAAGAAAACACUAUUAAUAAGGCCUUUCUUUCCUACGAUUAUUUUCAGACGCACCUUUUUUCCUGUCAAGCGAAACAACUUCUGUUCGAAUAAUGGAAAAUGGAAACAGGAAGAAAAGCGGAAAAGUGAAAUGCAGCACUUUCAAAUCGAGGAAAACUACUUAUCGCGAAAAGGAAAAAACGCCAAAACGUGCUUGUUUCGAAGUGAUUCUCAAACGCGAUUCCAAAAUUAUCGGCAUGGUUUGAUUUUCUUAAUUUUCAGAUUUUGGUUUUAAGUUAUGGUGUUUUGGUAAGCUAUUUUACGGUUUCGACUCACUUACCGCUAUGUUAUAACUUAUGACUCUGAGUUGUUUUCUAUGCAAACUUGGUUGUGAAUUAAACAGAGAGCAUACAUAACGAUAAAUUUGCUGAGUAUUUUCCCGGAUGAAGCGAUGAGGAGAAUAAAAUGCAGCUUUUGAUCCUGCUCACGAAGUGUUCGAUAAAAUGCCUCUGCCGGCUCUUUCUUCUUUUUGCUUCUGUUUCAGUACAAUUCUUGCUACAACAUUGUUGUUGUGUCGUUGUUAUUUGUUGUUUUUGCAUGUUGUGGUUGACAAAUUGAUGAAGAAUUAGUGUUGAAUUUCGCUUCACAUUAUGCCCAUCAAAUGUUAGGUUAUGUGAAGAUCUUUAUGGAAAAAGAAGAAUGGUGCUUAUUGGAAGAUUAUGGUGAUUACAAAGUGUCAGAUAUUUAUGGCAUUUGAGGUUGUUCAUGGGAUCUUCCUAUUGUUGCUGCACAUGGGUGAGUAGUCAACUACUUGCAGGUUAUCAAAAUUUCAUCUCAAUUAACAUUAAUUCUAAAGUCUCAUGUUUUCUAUCAUGACAGAGUGGAGAUUAAAGUAUAUAAAUAAAUAACUUGUCUCUGAUAUGAAGUUUUUCUUUGUGAGGUUUUACAAGGACGAAGAAAAGAACGAUCCUGAGCAUGCAAAAAAGCUCGCCACACUAGCAGAUCUGUAAGUGAGGAUGGUUUUAGUACUGCUGAUAGGGCACAGGGCACAUGCAUAAACAGAGGGAGUCACUAAAUACUUGAAGCCAUCUUUUGCUGGUUUAUCUCUCCUUUUCUAUUAAAUAGUUAUCAUUAGCUUAUCUAUAAUGGUUUGACAUUUUCAAAUUUGAACUGAUGUUUUUUCAUGUUGAAUGUAAUUUUCCAGUAUCUAUCUGCAAGAAAGGAGCUGUCUGCAAGAAAGGAGCUUAUCUAUUGUAUCAUUAUUUUAGCUUAAUAAACAUUAAUUCUAAAGUCUCAAGAACCCUCAAAGGGACUUUAGUUUUAGCUUAA